UACGAAGGGGGCUAGCGUUGCUCGGAAUUACUGGGCGUAAAGCGCACGUAGGCGGCUUUCUAAGUCGGAGGUGAAAUCCUGGAGCUCAACUCCAGAACUGCCUUCGAUACUGGAGAGCUUGAGUCCGGGAGAGGUGAGUGGAACUGCGAGUGUAGAGGUGAAAUUCGUAGAUAUUCGCAAGAACACCAGUGGCGAAGGCGGCUCACUGGACCACAACUGACGCUGAGGCGCGAAAGCUAGGGGAGCAAACAGG
rnacentral:rRNA from 1 species